UAAAUCAUAUAUAUUGUGAUGGCCUCGUGGUUAGUGUGCUUGCUUCAAAGCCUCAUGUCGUGAGUUCGAUCCCGAGUUGUAGCACCAUAUUUUGAUCUUUCUUUAAAAGAAAUGUGAAACUAGGCCGGGCCAAAUGCCGAGCGGAGGCGUCCGUUAGCAAAAAUAGGCGUCAAAUAGGAAAUGCCGAGACUCCUUCGUAAAGCUCAUCUUAGAGAAGCAGAAAAAAAAACAGUCUAACAGGUUGGAAACUCUAGGCGAUCAGUGACUGCGUGCUGGGUGUCUCCUUCAACUUCUCCUUUGGAGGUUGGAAAUCCUAUAUGGUCAGCAACUGCGCACGUUGUAGUUGUUGGCUCUCCUUCAUCUUCUCCUUUGGUAUGACCUUGUCGUGGAUUUGCGUAACCUUCCAGCAAUCCGCUUGGAGGACAAAUAGUGACCCAGCUUUCGGUACAAAUGCAUGCUUCACAACGAGCUACUUAGACAUCAAACUUAUCAGGUUUUGCAGUAAUUAAUACACUCUCCGUAAAAUAAUAUAAGAGUGUUUAGAUCGCCUCUCCUUUAGCGGCCCCUCCGUCCCCUAGCUUAGAUGACACGGGCGGCGACUCCAACCCCGGCCGCGAGCAGCGUCCCUCACCAGCUCGUACCCCUCGCCGCAGCCAGUGGCCAC
rnacentral:lncRNA from 1 species